AAGUCGUAACAAGGUUUCCGUAGGUGAACCUGCGGAAGGAUCAUUAAAACGAACCUUCGGGGGUAGGACCCAAAAUUUGGCACACUAUCGUCGAGCCCACGUUCCCCGAUAUCCAUCUUUUGACCUGCCCUGUCUGAACAUACCCAUGAUUUUGCGUACUAUUUGUUUCCUCGGUGGGCUUGCCCACCGCUAGGACAACUAAAACCCUUUUGUAAUUGCAGUCAGCGUCAGAAACAAAUAAUUAUUACAACUUUCAACAACGGAUCUCUUGGUUCUGGCAUCGAUGAAGAACGCAGCGAAAUGCGAUAAGUAGUGUGAAUUGCAGAAUUCAGUGAAUCAUCGAAUCUUUGAACGCACAUUGCGCCCCUUGGUAUUCCAUGGGGCAUGCCUGUUCGAGCGUCAUUUGUACCCUCAAGCUCUGCUUGGUGUUGGGUGUUUGUCUCACUAAACGUGUAGACUCGCCUUAAAGUUAUUGGCAGCCGGCAUAUUGGUCUCGGAGCGCAGCACAAGUCGCGCUUUGUACCAUACUUGUUGGCGUCCAGCAGCCUAUACAUUUGCUCUUGACCUCGGAUCAGGUAGGGAUACCCGCUGAACUUAAGCAUAUCAAUAAGCGGAGGAAAAGAAACCAACAGGGAUUGCCCUAGUAACGGCGAGUGAAGCGGCAACAGCUCAAAUUUGAAAUCUGGCUCUUUCAGGGUCCGAGUUGUAAUUUGCAGAGGGCGCUUUGGUGUUGGCAGCGGUCCAAGUUCCUUGGAACAGGACGUCACAGAGGGUGAGAAUCCCGUACGUGGUCGCUACCCUUCGCCGUGUAAAGCCCCUUCGACGAGUCGAGUUGUUUGGGAAUGCAGCUCUAAAUGGGAGGUAAAUUUCUUCUAAAGCUAAAUACUGGCCAGAGACCGAUAGCGCACAAGUAGAGUGAUCGAAAGAUGAAAAGCACUUUGGAAAGAGAGUCAAAUAGCACGUGAAAUUGUUGAAAGGGAAGCGCUUGCAGCCAGACUUGCCUGUAGUUGCUCAUCCGGGCUUUUGCCCGGUGCACUCUUCUGCGGGCAGGCCAGCAUCAGUUUGGGCGGUUGGAUAAAGGUCUCUGUCACGUACCUCUCUUCGGGGAGGCCUUAUAGGGGAGACGCCAUACAACCAGCCUGAACUGAGGUCCGCGCAUUUGCUAGGAUGCUGGCGUAAUGGCUGUAAGCGGCC
rnacentral:rRNA from 1 species